rnacentral:rRNA from 1 species
UCGAGGAUCUUCGGCAAUGGGCGCAAGCCUGACCGAGCGACGCCGCGUGGAGGAUGAAGGCCUUCGGGUUGUAAACUCCUGUCGAGGGGGAUCAAGGUCCCGAAAGGGACUUGAGAGAUCCCUGGAGGAAGCACGGGCUAAGUUCGUGCCAGCAGCCGCGGUAAGACGAACCGUGCGAACGUUGUUCGGAAUCACUGGGCUUAAAGGGCGCGUAGGCGGCUUGAAAAGUCGGGGGUGAAAUCCAGCAGCUUAACUGUUGAAGUGCCUUCGAUACUGUCGAGCUCGAGGAAGGUAGGGGUGCGCGGAACUUCUGGUGGAGCGGUGAAAUGCGUUGAUAUCAGAAGGAACGCCGGUGGCGAAAGCGGCGCACUGGACCUUUUCUGACGCUGAGGCGCGAAAGCUAGGGGAGCAAACGG